AGAGUUUGAUCAUGGCUCAGGAUGACCACUAGCGGCGUGCCUGAGAUAUGCAAGUCGAAUGUCUUUUUCUCCGCAAGGAGAGAAGGUAAUGGCGGACGGCUGAGUAACACGUGGGGACCUGCCCUAAAGUAGGGAAUAGCUCACCGAAAGGUGGGGUAAUACUCUAUAUCCAGUUUACUGGAAAGAGCUUAACUGCUCGCUUAAGGAUGGACCUGCGUCCUAUCAGAUAGUUGGUGAGGUAAAGGCUUACCAAGUCUAUGACGGGUAGCUGGCCUGAGAAGGUGGUCAGCCAGAGGAGCACUGAGAUACGGGCUCCACUCCUACGGGAGGCAGCAAUCAGGAAUAGUCGGCAAUGGGCGAAAGCCUGACCGCGCGACGUCGCGUGUAGGAUGAAGCAUUAACGUGUGUAAACUACUGUGGUAAGAGAAGAAAUUCCGAUUUAUCGGAACUGACGGUAUCUUACUAGAAAGAGGCCGCUAACUGCGUGCCAGAAGCGUCGGUAAGACGUGGGCCUCAAGUGUUAUCCGGUGUUAUUGGGCGUAAAGAGUCGUGUAGGUGGUCUAGUAAGUUCUUACUUAAAGACCGGGGCUCAACCUCGGGAAAAGUAAGAAUACUGCUGGACUAGAAUAUCCUCAAGGGAGAUUGGAACUGAACGAGUAGCAGUGAAAUGCGUUGAUACGUUCAGGAACAUCAGUGGCGAAGGCGAAUCUCUGGGAGGAUAUUGACACUGAGACACGAAAGCUAGGGGAGCGAAGCAGAUUAGAGACCUGCGUAGUCCUAGCCCUAAACCAUGCUUGCUGGCUGCAUUGGCUCCAAUUUAUUGGAGACGGUGUGGCGAAGCUAACGCGUUAAGCAAGCCGCCUGGGGAGUACGGUCGCAAGGCUGAAACUCAAAGG
rnacentral:rRNA from 1 species